CCUCUCCUCUCCCUCUCCUCUCCCUCUCCGUGCCCUUAGAGCAGUCCCUGAGCCAUCUCUGCCAGCGUGGGCAUGCCUGCUGUGAAGGAAGCCAAACUGUACAGAAAUGUCAUCUCUGAUGGCAUUCAAGAGUCCUGACACAAUUACAGAGCCUGGCCCCAGGGGAGAGCUUGCUGGGUGCUCACUCUAAGAUCACAGCCCUGCACUGCCUUGUACAGCAAGGGCGUGCUGCCAGCAGGGCUGAGUGCUGCAAGGCAGAAAGCGCUGUGGGAGCCUCUGGGAGCAGAGCAAGGGAAUAUGUUGAGAGGAGAGGAAGGCAGAGAAAAGAAAGGCACUCAGAGAAUGGAAUCCCAAUGCUACUGCGUCCAUAGCAAAGCUACUGAUUGUUUCCUAUGAGAAAGCCCUCACAGAAACCAAGCAGAGAACAAUCUGUGGAAAAUCUCUCUUUUAAGCCCUUGGUGAUGGCCUCCUCUGAUAAGAAGUGAGAUUUCUGUGGAUGUACAGUAUGGGGAAGACUUCUAAUGUGAUUAUGCAAGUUUAGAGAUGAACAGAGGGUGGCAAUAUUUAUAUCCUAAAAAAGAGAGAAGAAACACACUCUUGAAAAAAGGUAUCUUUAAAAAGAAUGAGUCAUAAUUUUAAAAGUCUACCUAUUUGGUUUACCCACAGACCUUUCACAACAGAUGCAAGACAUUUAUUCACAGAAGGUUGAGACCAUCCCAUCUGAGGGCAUAUUUGUUAAUAGUGGCACCUGUUCAGCCUUCAUACUAAUUGUAUAUAUUGUAUGGAUAGGCAUUAACACAGCCUAGAUCUCAAAAUCAGCCUCAUUCAAAAGGGGUGGGAGGAUCUGCCUUUGAAGUAAAAUACAGUAUUCUGAGGCUUAGCAGCCUUUAUAUAAAGAAUAAGAAGUCAUUUCCCAAGACACAGAGACUCUAUUAUUAAUGUGUCUAAAUGCAGUAUAGAUAUGUACAAAAUACCCUGUUUUAAAUUCACUUCUGAAACAUCUUAAUCUGAUUGAUUAAGAAUCUCCAGCUUCUUAUUGUCAAAUCAGUUCAAGAUAGGAGCUUGGUGUCUUAAAAAUGAAAUGCUGGUCAAAAAUAAUGAAACUAAUGUCUCCAGGUAGUUUCCAUCCUCAAAUCUCUCUUCAUUCAAAG
rnacentral:lncRNA from 1 species